rnacentral:rRNA from 1 species
AUUGAACGCUGGCGGCAGGCCUAACACAUGCAAGUCGAACGGUAGCACAGAGAGCUUGCUCUCGGGUGACGAGUGGCGGACGGGUGAGUAACGUCUGGGAAACUGCCCGAUGGAGGGGGAUAACUACUGGAAACGGUAGCUAAUACCGCAUAACGUCGCAAGACCAAAGUGGGGGACCUUCGGGCCUCACACCAUCGGAUGUGCCCAGAGGGGAUUAGCUAGUAGGUGGGGUAAUGGCUCACCUAGGCGACGAUCCCUAGCUGGCCUGAGAGGAUGACCAGCAACACUGGAACUGAAACACGGUCCAGAAUCCUACGGGAGGCAGCAGUGGGGAAUAUUGCACAAUGGGCGCAAGCCUGAUGCAGCCAUGCCGCGUAUAUGAAGAAGGCCUUCGGGUUGUAAAGUACUUUCAGCGGGGAGGAAGGCGGUGAAGUUAAUAGCUUCACCGAUUGACGUUACCCGCAGAAGAAGCACCGGCUAACUCCGUGCCAGCCGCCGCCGUAA